CCGGAAACGAGAACAAACUUUUCCCGGUCAUUUUAUGCAGCUAAAGUUGUUUAGUAUUUUCUCUUAUUUAGACACCAACACAUUAAAGAACACGUCUACAACCUGUAAAAACCAUCCCAGCGAGGAAAGUCGUGAGGUUAGCGAGCUAUUUAUGAUUAUAUGAUUAUAGCGUAACGUUAACCGGCUGGCCAGGUAUCAACAUAGUCAGUCAGUGCACUUGUUGGUGAUACGUCGAUUCAACCUGAAGGUAGCGAGAGAUCACUUGUUUUGUGACCGUAUUGCAGGUUAUUAUUCCAACCUUGCUCUAACGUUAAGUCAACUACACAAGGUCUCGGUGAGCAGGUGUGUUUUGAGCAAGGCUGGAACAAAAACCUGCACACCAGUUCUCCAAGGGUUAGGGUUGGACAUCCUGGCAUCUGCUCCAAUAUACCGAGGGUGGCGUGAUUCAUUAUAACCAGGUCCCUGUGUUUUGGUUAAUUCAUUAUAACCAGGUCCCUGUGUUUUGGUUAAUUCAUUAUAACCAGGUCCCUGUGUUUUGGUUAAUUCAUUAUAACCAGGGUCCUGUGUUUUGGUUAAUCAUGUUGAUUCAUUAUAACCAGGUCCCUGUGUUUUGGUUAAUCGUGUUGAUUCAUUAUAUCUAGGACCCUGUGUUUUGGUUCAUUCAUUAUAACUAGGUCCCUGUGUUUUGGUUGAUUCAUUAUAACCAGGACCCUGUGUUUUGGUUCAUUCAUUAUAACUAGGUCCCUGUGUUUUGGUUGAUUCAUUAUAACCAGGGUCCC
ensembl:lncRNA